UACGUAGGGUGCAAGCGUUGUCCGGAAUUAUUGGGCGUAAAGAGCUCGUAGGCGGUGUGUCACGUCGGCCGUGAAAACCUGCAGCUUAACUGUGGGCGUGCGGUCGAUACGGGCAUCACUGGAGUUCGGCAGGGGAGACUGGAAUUCCUGGUGUAGCGGUGAAAUGCGUAGAUAUCAGGAGGAACACCGAUGGCGAAGGCAGGUCUCUGGGCUGACACUGACGCUCAUGCACGAAAGCGUGGGGAGCAAACAGG
rnacentral:rRNA from 1 species